rnacentral:rRNA from 1 species
GACGAACGCUGGCGGCGUGCCUAAUACAUGCAAGUAGAACGCUGAAGAGAGGAGCUUGCUCUUCUGGAUGAGUUGCGAACGGGUGAGUAACGCGUAGGUAACCUGCCUUGUAGCGGGGGAUAACUAUUGGAAACGAUAGCUAAUACCGCAUAACAAUGGGUGACACAUGUCAUUUAUUUGAAAGGGGCAAUUGCUCCACUACAAGAUGGACCUGCGUUGUAUUAGCUAGUAGGUGAGGUAACGGCUCACCUAGGCGACGAUACAUAGCCGACCUGAGAGGGUGAUCGGCCACACUGGGACUGAGACACGGCCCAGACUCCUACGGGAGGCAGCAGUAGGGAAUCUUCGGCAAUGGGGGCAACCCUGACCGAGCAACGCCGCGUGAGUGAAGAAGGUUUUCGGAUCGUAAAGCUCUGUUGUAAGUCAAGAACGAGUGUGAGAGUGGAAAGUUCACACUGUGACGGUAGCUUACCAGAAAGGGACGGCUAACUACGUGCCAGCAGCCGCGGUAAUACGUAGGUCCCGAGCGUUGUCCGGAUUUAUUGGGCGUAAAGCGAGCGCAGGCGGUUUGAUAAGUCUGAAGUUAAAGGCUGUGGCUCAACCAUAGUUCGCUUUGGAAACUGUCAAACUUGAGUGCAGAAGGGGAGAGUGGAAUUCCAUGUGUAGCGGUGAAAUGCGUAGAUAUAUGGAGGAACACCGGUGGCGAAAGCGGCUCUCUGGUCUGUAACUGACGCUGAGGCUCGAAAGCGUGGGGAGCGAACAGG